GUAAUACUCCCCCCGUCUGGAAAUACUUGUCAUCAAAAUGGAUGAGAAGAGAUGUAUCUAGAACUAAAAUACGUCUAGAUACAUCCCCUUUUAUCCAUUUUAAUGACAAGUAUUUUCGGAUGGAGGGAGUACAAC
rfam:Triticum aestivum genome assembly, contig: Triticum_aestivum_CS42_TGACv1_scaffold_222088_3B